rnacentral:sRNA from 1 species
CCGACUUGGAACCUCCUGUUGGGCAAGUCCGCUGGGUGAAUAUUAUCAAGCCUUCGCAGGAGUCUGGUGCUUGCAAGUCUCCUCGCGACCCAUUUCUUACCCAUUGUCUUGUGCACUCGAACGGUGCUGUGUGGCAUGUGCCGCCAGUGGCAGACACAAUGGGCGGAAGUGCCGAAAAGUGAUACAAAUAGGGAUGAAUUGACGGUGCAACGUGUCUCACAAUUGUGGGAUGGACACAAGACACACAGGGUCUGCUUUGCGGAACAUCUGAUUCAGCAGCAGUGCAAAAGUGUAUGAAGUACGCGGUUGGUAAACAGUCAGCAUUCUCGGUGAAAUUAUGUAAACUACUUUCAAUAUUUGCUUAGAAAAUCUGAAAACCGGGUCCAGAACAUCCUUGAGGGAAAGAUCUUCCUAUUUACCAUAUUUCGUAUGUAUAUUUAGCCAUAGAGGGCAUAAGAUCUUUGAUCGUAAGAGCCCUCUUUCGAUGACAUCCCUCCGGGUGCUUUAAUAAGAUACUCGCUCAUCGAUUUAAACUGGAUUACGGGAAGGGGAGGGGGCAAAAAAAACCGCCGUAACCGAAGGCCCUGCGAAGUCCUCUCUGGAAACAGGAUUAUGGAAAGAGUAAGGGAUUGAGAAGGACUGAAGACUGGACUGUCCAAGAGCGAACAAUGCGGCAGCUGUGGCAGGCAACGGAUCAGGGUGGCGCUACAACAAUACGUUCCGCUAUCCACUUAAGGUCCAAGCGGGUCGAAACGAAACUCGUUAUGAGUCACACAAAUCUCAGACUACGCUUUUUGAGAGAGGGUCUACGAUCUAUCUUUCUUGAGAUACCCAAGCCAACCAUAUACCACCCCAACAUCGAAACGCGAUCCUACCCCUUCUCUGGUCAGUCGCGAAAACAAUCAGCGGCCAUAAAUGUUGAUUAUAACGAUGACGAGUCCACGAAGGAGGAGAGAUGAUGAGUCUUACACCACCACCACCACACCACCACCAUCAUCAACAUCAUCUCUAACAGCAUUAUCAGCAGCAGCAGCUUUUUUUUAUCAAAUGAUCUGGACCGUGAGCUACUUACCUUUA